rnacentral:lncRNA from 1 species
CUUUGUCAUGAAGUUGUACAUAUAAAUGGUUCAAAAUCAGAGAAGAAGAAUGGAGACAUUAAAAGGUCUCUAGAGAAGUUCAGACUCAGCUUCUGCCUUAUGCCAACAAAAUUUGAAAAACCUAUGGAAAGAGAGAAAACAACUGGCCCAAAAUCUAAGGAUAGAAAGUAUCUCCAGGGAGAAAGGAGAUUUGCACCCAUGAUCAUCUGAAGGUAGAUACAGGUCUGAGCAGACAGACAGAAGCCAGCACAACUGCAGGAGAAAUGAAAUGAGGUUCUAAGCCACCUUACAGCUUAUAUUGGCCCCACCAGUCUUUUUGUUCAUUGGUUACGUGAGUCAAAUUUAUAUCCCUAAAUCCGGAAUAUGCUGCCUCCAGAAUCCAAAGAAGCCUGAGAAGCAUGGUGAUUCCUUCUUAGUGGUGGAAAGAAUGAGUUAUACACAAGAUGAAUGGAUUAACCACUGGAAGACCUGCACUACUACAAAUGUUAAAGAAAGUCCUUCCAAGAAAGAAAAAAGGCAACUUAAUGGAAACUUGUGUCUACCAAAUGGAAAGAAGAGCAAUGGGAAUCCUAACUACGGUACACUGAAGAACACUUUUGCAGCUGACUAACAACUCUUGAUAUUGAGAAAGUUAUCAGAAUUAUUUGCAAAUCUCCUCUCAGAUUUGCAAAGGAUGCUGGCAUUUCUCCAUGAGGCAGGAGUGUGAGAAAAAAAGUUGAAUGUGGUGAUGGGGAAAACACUGAAGUUCAAAAGAAGCGAAGACAAGAAGCUACUCAUGGCAGCAGCUUUUCCCAUAAAUCAAGAAAUGCUACAGAUUAUAAAUGAGAUGAGACUAUCAAGAAGAGACCUAAUAGGAGUGUGAAGACCAAAAAUUUAAAAGACGUGGUUAUAUACUUUGAGUAAACUCUAUAUAUAGGACAAUGUUAUUGUUUGGUUCUGUGUUCCUCACUCAAAUCUCACCUCAAAUUAUAAUCCCCAUGUGUCAAGGGCAGGACCAGGUGGAAGUAACUGGAUCAUGGGGGAAGUUUUCCUCAUGCUUUUCUCAUAGUAAGUGAGUUCUCAUAAGAUCUGAUUUUUUUAUAAGCAUAUGGCAUUUCCCCUCCUAGCAUUUUGCCUCCUGCUGCCUUGCAAAGACGGCAGUUGCUUCCCCUUUGCCUUCCGCCAUGACUGUAAGUUCCCUGAGUCCUCUCCAGCCAUGUGGAACUGUGGGUUA